rnacentral:rRNA from 1 species
GACGAACGCUGGCGGCGUGCUUAACACAUGCAAGUCGAACGGUAAGGCCCUUCGGGGUACACGAGUGGCGAACGGGUGAGUAACACGUGGGUGAUCUGCCCUGCACUUCGGGAUAAGCCUGGGAAACUGGGUCUAAUACCGGAUAGGACUCCUGCCUGCAUGGGUGGGGGUGGAAAGCUUUUGUGGUGUGGGAUGGGCCCGCGGCCUAUCAGCUUGGUGGUGGGGUGAUGGCCUACCAAGGCGAGGACGGGUAGCCGGCCUGAGGGGGUGACCGGCCACCCUGGGACUGAGAUACGGCCCAGACUCCUACGGGAGGCAGCAGUGGGGAAUAUUGCACAAUGGGCGCAAGCCUGAUGCAGCGACGCCGCGUGAGGGAUGACGGCCUUCGGGUUGUAAACCUCUUUCAGCGCAGACGAAGCGCAAGUGACGGUAUGUGCAGAAGAAGGACCGGCCAACUACGUGCCAGCAGCCGCCGUAA